GACGAACGCUGGCGGCGUGCUUAACACAUGCAAGUCGAGCGGAAAGGCCCCUUCGGGGGUACUCGAGCGGCGAACGGGUGAGUAACACGUGAGUAAUCUGCCCUUCACUUUGGGAUAACCCCCGGAAACGGGAGCUAAUACCGGAUAUGACCACCGUCCGCAUGGGCUGGUGGUGGAAACUUUUUUGGGUGGGGGAUGUGCUCGCGGCCUAUCAGCUUGUUGGUGGGGUAAUGGCCUACCAAGGCUUUGACGGGUAGCCGGCCUGAGAGGGUGACCGGCCACACUGGGACUGAGACACGGCCCAGACUCCUACGGGAGGCAGCAGUGGGGAAUAUUGGCCAAUGGGCGGAAGCCUGAUCCAGCAACGCCGCGUGAGGGAUGACGGCCUUCGGGUUGUAAACCUCUUUCAGCACCGACGAAGCGCAAGUGACGGUAGGUGCAGAAGAAGGACCGGCCAACUACGUGCCAGCAGCCGCCGUAAAAC
rnacentral:rRNA from 1 species